UAGGGAAUCUUCGGCAAUGGGGGCAACCCUGACCGAGCAACGCCGCGUGAGUGAAGAAGGUUUUCGGAUCGUAAAGCUCUGUUGUAAGAGAAGAACGUGUGUGAGAGUGGAAAGUUCACACAGUGACGGUAACUUACCAGAAAGGGACGGCUAACUACGUGCCAGCAGCCGCGGUAAUACGUAGGUCCCGAGCGUUGUCCGGAUUUAUUGGGCGUAAAGCGAGCGCAGGCGGUUUAAUAAGUCUGAAGUUAAAGGCAGUGGCUUAACCAUUGUUCGCUUUGGAAACUGUUAAACUUGAGUGCAGAAGGGGAGAGUGGAAUUCCAUGUGUAGCGGUGAAAUGCGUAGAUAUAUGGAGGAACACCGGUGGCGAAAGCGGGUCUCUGGGCUGUAACUGACGCUGAGGCUCGAAAGCGUGGGGAGCAAACAGG
rnacentral:rRNA from 1 species